rnacentral:lncRNA from 1 species
AGCUUUUGGGUGUCAAUCUGAAUGACUAUGCAAUUGACCGCUGUCUGAUUCCUUCUCUAUUUGAGGAAUUCUUUAGGUUCCUUUAACCUUGUUCAUGGAUAUUAAUAAAGUUGUUACUUUGUUAACAUAUUAUGUGGUCUUUUUACCUGCAUUUUGACAUGUAUUGUUGAUGGUUCCAGAAACUGGCCAUCUAGACUGAAAUAUUUUUAUUCUGAACUUUCCUCUCUCUUUACAUUCUACUGCGAUUUGAACUAUUUCUGUUAUUUACCUGAUAUUUUGGGUAAUGGGAAGAAUUGAUAAUGCCUACUCUAAUGUAUCCACUUUUCCAAAUGGUAGAAUUAUUUUAAUAACCCAAGGAUUCGGUUAGUUUGUCACUUUCUCGGUACAUGUUACUGAUAGCUAAGAUUCGGGUUUGUUUGAUUUGGAUAUUGGUUUUGUGCCCAUGACAAAGUACUGAUUUUUCUUUGAUCCUUAGUUGUAGAAUCCAAAAUAGAAUAUACACCGGAAUCUUUAUACAUAUCUUGUUUCCAUCUUUUGAUUCUUCUUUAGCUCCUGUGUUAUUGGAUGGUUUCUUUGGGCUGCAUGCUUAUGAGGCUAAAAUGAUUUACGUUUAUUUUAAAGCUUCCUAACUGCUUAAAGUUUUCAAACCUGUAUCUAUCUUUUUAUAUGAUGGGAAAUUAGGAAUACCUGUAUCAAUCUUUUCCUAUAACUCUAUUUUCAUAUUUAUGGUUUGUCUUUCUUGCAGUUCCAAUAUCAGUUAUUGCUUCUUUUAGGAAAUUGAAGAGGCUUACCCGAAACCAUGCAUGGAUAGUGGCUGCACUCAGGGAAUCAUCCUUGCUUGUAAGCUGCUUCUUUCCUUUGCAAUAAUAAUGAUUAGGGUGUUGAUGUUAUCUACAUAUCUGAAGUGAUAAAAUGCAACGUCACUUGUGCCUUCUGCGUUGAGGCAGAUGUUAAUGGUAGCUUCUUAAUAAUUCAAUGAUUCCAGUUAACUAUGAUGUAAAGGGUGUUUAUUCUUUAAUUAUUUCCUAAUUUCCCUUUUUAAAUAAAAUAAAAAUUAAAGGUUGUGAGUUCAAAUGGGAAGAAGGUAAAGCGCCUUAAUCCUCUGCCAGUCACUGAAGUCAGGGAUCCUAAGGUAAUGAAUUGCAUGAACUUGAUUGUUUCAUUCUUAUGUUAAUUUGAUAAAUUUAUAGCAUCUAAUUUGUGGACCCUAGUUAUUCACUGUUUUGGUAGAGAAUCUACCUGAGGAUCACUCGGUAGAGAACAUGCAGAGAAUAUUUGCAGAAGCUGGAAAGUAUACAAUAUGUUAUCUAUGAUGGAGUAAGGGCGUGAUUUUUCUGGGGAAGUAGGAUUUAUGGUUUGCUGACCUAUAAAUUGGUUAAGUUUCCAACUUGCUAUUCAAUGUGCGGUAGAAUAAAAGAAACUUGCCACAUCUAUCUGGUACAUUGUUAGAGAAACUAAUGCUCCUGCUGUUUUGUUUUUCAGAAACUAUGGAUUUCCAAACUAACUAAAAUGCAAAAUAAUAAUUUAACUUGGAGAAUAAAGAUGGAUCAGUUGAAAACAAUCAAUAUGGCUUUUAGUGCAAAAUUAAAUCUGGGAAAUAUUUUGUAGAAUAGAGAUGAUGAAGGUGAUGAAGUAAAGCAGGUACUUAUGACAGAUUGGCUAGCCUGGAUGUUUUCCUGGUGCAGCCAUUUCGCUGUGCCGAGCUUUUGGGUGUCAAUCUGAAUGACUAUGCAAUUGACCGCUGUCUGAUUCCUUCUCUAUUUGAGGAAUUCUUUAGGUUCCUUUAACCUUGUUCAUGGAUAUUAAUAAAGUUGUUACUUUGUUAACAUAUUAUGUGGUCUUUUUACCUGCAUUUUGACAUGUAUUGUUGAUGGUUCCAGAAACUGGCCAUCUAGACUGAAAUAUUUUUAUUCUGAACUUUCCUCUCUCUUUACAUUCUACUGCGAUUUGAACUAUUUCUGUUAUUUACCUGAUAUUUUGGGUAAUGGGAAGAAUUGAUAAUGCCUACUCUAAUGUAUCCACUUUUCCAAAUGGUAGAAUUAUUUUAAUAACCCAAGGAUUCGGUUAGUUUGUCAC